rnacentral:lncRNA from 1 species
UGAUAUAAAUUUGUUUUACUAAUGAUUUUCACAAUGACUGCUCCUCAAAGAAAUUCCAUUCUGGAAAUUAAUUCAAUGAUAGGAGUAAAAAGACUCAUCAUUCUAAAAAUAUAGGGGAAGUAUUCAGGUGCCUGGGUGGCUCAGUUAGCCACCUGACUCUUGUUUUCAGCUCAAGGUCAUGAUCUUAAGGUUCAGCCCUUAAGGUUCCAGCUCUGCAUCUGGCUCCAUGCUGGUAGUGCAGAGCCUGCUUUAGGGCUCUCUCUCUCUCUCUCUCUGCCCCUUCACUUCUCACUCUCUCUCUCUCUCUCAAAACAUAAAUAAAUAAAUUUUAAAAAUAAAUACAAAAGACAGGGGUAAUAUUUAAAAUGGAAACUCUUCAGUUUUUGUUUGUGUGUGUUUUUAACAGAGAAGUAAAAUGGUUUGUUUCUUCAACUGCUCAUCCCCUUUUGACAUCUGUUCCCUUGGAGGAUGCCAGUGCCCCAGGACCUGGUGCUGGAGAUAACGGCAGCUGGAGCUCACCAGCUUCUUGGACUCACAAAGGUCACAAGACUUGGUUACUGAAUGACUUCCCUGAAAAUGAAUGAUGUUGCAAUCUUCCCUUUCCUUUGAAAAAUAUUUGCUUAGGAGUCAGAAAAGCAAUGGUAUGUGCAAAAUGUAGUUUGUAAAAGAUAUUUAUAGCUUCAAGUUGACUUUAUGGUUAGUGGCACCUAAAAUUAUAUCAACCAUUCUUGUUUUUUCUUUUGUUGUUGUAGUUAGAAUUCUUUCUGUUAUGUACCUGGAAAUAGUGUCACAGAACCGAGUGUAAAUUCUAAGAAUAUCAAGUGACUGGAAUAUUCAAAGAUGAACCAGGAAAUAUCUCAGCCAGAUUUCAGAAUACAGGGCAUCUCUUCCAUUUCUGGGACUGCUUUUCAUGACAUUUUUGAUGACCAUAGCAUCAUAGUAAAGGGGAACAUACAAAGAAGAAAAAAAGCUUGUCUUGUGAUGACGGCUUUAUGGAACCACUUUACCUUAGAAACUACUAUAUUCCAAAAAAAAAAUCAACAAAUACUUUGAUCUAUGGUUUAUGUAUAUAUACUAAUCACAUGAUACCUUUUAGUCCAUGUUGUAUUCAAUAGAGACUUACAUCCAUAACUCUUUAUUUGCUAUCUGGCUGCACGGGUAUUAUUUUAAAAAUGUUGAUAUUGCUAAUGGUUAAGAAAGAAAACACUGACUCAACGAAAGCUUUUCUGCAUAACUAUUAUUUUCAGAUUUACAAGGACUCAAAUAUUUUGAAUAUUUGUACACAACGGCACACUUAUGAGAGCAUUCUUGCUAUUUGGAUAAUAUUUGGAGGAAGACUUUUGAGAAUAUGAGAAGAAUGCCAAGACCAUUGUUUCCCAUUUGAUUAUCUGUAUGUUAUCAAGGAAAUAAAAGUUUUUAGAGCUAAAAUUGACA